UGAUGACCGCUGGAUUUCUCCACCCCAGAACAGGGGCUUGACCCCAGCCUAAGGCCCAUGACACAGAGGCCCACGUACUUGAUACCCCCAACAAGCCUGGCUCAUCCCAUCUUCCGGGCCGGGCUCGACCAAGCUUCCUCAAUCAGUCCAGCCUGAUCCCUGACCAGCAGACCCCUCUCAGGCCCAGCGUCCAGCCCAACUCUCAGCCCAGCCCGGGGUCCAGCACAGUACUCACCAGACAGCCUGG
rnacentral:lncRNA from 1 species